GUCUAAAUAUUUUACUUCUGGAAUACUGUCAAUUAAGUUGGAUGCAAGGAAUGCUCAAGUUUCUGUUGACGAAUUCAUGAUGGGUUCGGUAUAGAAAUGUAGAUAUGUUUUUGGGUGUAUUGCAGAUGAGCUUGGUCCUGGUACACCAGAUUGUUUUAUUGGUUAGAUGUAUUGCAGAUGAUAUUUAGUCCUGAUACAUCUAUGUAUAUGUAUUUGGUGUAUUGCAGUUGACUAAGGAUCCUGGUGCACCAUAUGUAGAACUUUUCUAGUUUUAAAAAAUUAAUUUUUGUAUUCCGUUAUAUACAUUUUUCAGAUAUAUUUAAAACGGGAAGGUGGUCCGAUAGUGCAAGGAUUGAAGAUCAGCGAUUACAACAGCUACGGGACCUUUUACCAACUUUCUGUCUUAAAUCAAGAGCAGGCAAUACAUCGAGUCAAUACAGAUAGGAAGAUAAAGAAGAUAUGAAUAUUGUAUAUAGUUGAAAUAAUUAAACUGCACUAUCAGAGCGCUUCACAUCCUAU